rnacentral:lncRNA from 1 species
GAAGGCCUUCUCUUUGGUGGCACUGGUGGUUUUGUCUUGUUACUAACAGGUAUGUGUUUAUUUAAACCUAUCCUGUGCUGGCUAGACGCUGUUUGCUUCAUAAACCUUGGUAACCUGGAAGAAACAUCUCUCUGAUUCUUUGAAUUCCUUGUAUUCUUUGACAUGUCAGUUUUCAUCUCUUCACUGGAUGGAUGCGAAAUGUCGAAAUUUGUUUCAACAGAUGGCUGAGGCCCUUUAAAAUGCUCAAUUGUUUCCUUGAGCUUCUUAAUCUUUCUAAUAAUACCUUCACAUUCUUGUUCUAGAUCACUGAUCUCCUGUUCUAAUUCCAUUAACAAAUGUUUCUUUCGUGCUUUUACUUCCUGUAUGUACAAGAUCAAAACAUUAGUUUUUUGCAGCAAAGAUUGUGUGGAACCACAUCCUAAUAAAUGGAUUACUCAUCUGUGUUCAUGGGCACAAAUUGUUAUUACAAUUUCUGGGACAUCGAACAUUUUUUGCAAGUUCAACAUACUCUCAUCUUGUUAUUAUCACUUGCCUUUGAAAAUCAAAGCAGCCUGACUCCUUAUCUAAUAUCUACUUUAAUGUUAAGUUCAUAACAAUGUACAAAGCUGGUCUCUUCCUUUUCUUUCCUUGACUAUAUACAAGCUAGCGUCACUGCAAAAGCUUACUUGUGGUUCUUCAUUUUCCAGGCGAAUACUUCUGACUCUCGUUGCAAAACCCAAGGUACAGAUGGUCUCACACAAAUCAUCCUCAUUUGGACGGAUAUGAACAAGCAUCAGAGUUUUGGACUCACAUCCUGUCAACAUGAAUACACCAAGGUGAGCUACAAGAAAACCGAGUUUGUAAAAUAAGAAAACAGCAAUUUGUCUGCAUUUCUGGAACUGUUAGUGAGGUGCUACUUACCUAUAGAAUCUCUAAGAACUUGUGUGAGCUUGCUAUUCCUGAGAAUUAAGAAGUUGAACGUGUAUCAUUGUCUCGAAAAUAAACUCUGUUGUGAUAACUGCCAAACACCAGUAUAUUAGGGAUUUUAUUUACCUAUAAGGGACAUGUGAUUUUUUGGUCUGUAGUGCAUCUAUCACAUCCCCUAGGGCUGACAGUGACAGAUUUAUGGCUUUUCCUUCCUUGAGUCUUUUUCCAGUUGCCUUUGUCUUUACAAGCCUUUCACUUCCACCUAGAUCAAUCAUCCAUAAUUUGUUUCUUGCCCUUUUUCUCUCUGGGGCGUCAAAUGAGGUCAAUGCAAUACGAAUCAAACUGUUGCACAUAACGAAGAGUAUAAGGCUUUACUAUAGAUAUUCUUCCAUGGUAUUUUCUAUAAAGCAGCUACUUUCCUAUCCAAGCAUAAUAAGGUUUCAGUAAGCAUGCACCUUUGAUUCAGGGUCUCUUUCUGUCAGAUGCAACCAUGGCUGAUGCCUUUUCAAUUGUUAUAGUAAGGAUUUUUCUUCAGUAAAGUAAAAAAGAUUACCAGUGAGAUCUGCUUGAUGUAGAAUUAGCCAUAGUGGAAGCUGUUGAUCUAAAGCGGGUCCCCACUUCAUAUAGUCUUUUCACUUCUUGAAAACUAUUGACAGUAACUGCCACUAGGUUUUCAAUCUCGAUGCCACCAUCAGGAUCUGUUUUGAUGGAAAGGCUGUAUACAGAAUAAUUGUUUACUUCCAACAAAUGAAAAGAUGAAAAGGUGAUAAGUGUUCACAUAUGUAUGUCAGUUAGUUAACUUGCAUCAACAAAAUUGUACAAGAACCACCUAUGCCAAUUCCAAUUCAUGUCUUGACUCUUGGACAGUUGCUGGAUUGUCACACUGCCCCCAAUUUAGAUCCUUCUAUUAUGUCUAAAUAUUCACACUUUAUUUUUCAGCAUUACUGAUAUGUUGCCUAUGCGUUUAAUGCAACAUUUUAAUGGCCCUGUUCAUUUUCUUAGUUGUGGAGGACCGCUAUGUAGCCUUGGAACACAAGUGCACUAUAGUAGCAUUGUUAUAUAUUUUUAGUUUUCCAAAACUAUCAACAUUGACCGAAUAAUAUUUACAUUAUUUUCCCAUCUUUAGUCUGUAGACUGUCAACAAGAUUUCAUUACUUGUUUUGCAACAAGGUAGUCCUUCCAAAAUUUUAAGAGAAAAUGCUAUUUUUUUCCUCGAAUACGCAGGAGAGCUGCGUAUCAUUGAAUUAAGAAGAGAAAGUGCUAAAUUACCUUGGUACUUUCUUAAAACCCUGUGUCUUGCUUCCUGGAACUAGCAGGUCUCGCAAAUUUCCCAUAUAUAUCUCGAGCAUACUGAAAGUGAACAGAAAUCUUCUGUUGCUCUCUGAAGUUCGAUCAAACAGUGCUUGAAUCGCACGUGGUAUGACACCUAAAUCUGUAGGCUUGCCUUCCUGAUUCAAGUGGUAAUGGAUUGUAAAAUCAAAAUAUUAGAUUUCUGUUGGAUUGGAUUUGUUUGGACUUUUAUUUUCAUCUAUUCUUCAUGAAUGAGAUAAGGAGUUGGAAUGAGUAGAGCUUACCAUGGUAUAAGUUUUCCCACUACCUGUCUGACCAUAGGCAAAUAUGCAAACAUUAUAGCCAUCUAAAGCAGAUUUUACCACUGGUUCAACUUCAGCAAAUACAUCACCUGGAAACCACACUACUGUAACCUGACUGGCAUUCAAAUUAUUCACUUCAACAUCACAGUUCCUAUAAAUGCAAAUCUAUUAUACCUUGUGUUGAGCAUUGGUUGAAAACCUUGUCAAACUUGUAUUGCUUUAUCUUGGUUUCAGCAACUUUUAGGAAUACAUUACUCUCAUCCAGGGUGAACAGAGUUCCGGAUUGAUAAUCCUCUUCAUGGUGAAAAGGCCUUACACGACAGAACACCCUUAUAUUUCCUGGAAAAUUAAUGCAUGUGAAUUAACAAAACUCUAACAACUUCCAUUACAUUUAGUGACAUUUAUAUUUAUCAAGCCAAACACAAAAAAUCCAGGAGAAAGUUCAACCUUUGAGAUCCAAAUAGUUAUUUAGUGACUGCCUCUUCUGCAAUGUUAUCUGCUUUAGUUUAGCAUUCAGCAAAACCAGUUCCUCUGUCAUGACCAAACAAAGAGAAGAUAUGAGAACUUUAUUGCUGUUUUAUCUGCUUUAGUCAAACAUUCAGCAAAAAUAGUUUAUCUGUUCUGUAACAAAAAAGGAAAAAAAUAUUCAGAAAUGUUUAGAGGUUGAGGGGAAGUGUUAGAACUGCAUACCUUGAAUCUUUGCAACUUUAGCAUCUGAUUCUGUAUCAUCAGGACAGAUAUUUUGAGCCGUGUGAACCAUUACUUUCAUCUUUGGUUUGGUUGGUGACAACUCCUCGAUGAUGUGAGACACCGAUUCAAUCCAGCUGGGUGUGAGGUACUUGAGCCCCAUGAGGGAUGACAGUGUAUCAGGCAAACUCUGCACUGUUUUCCCUGAUUUGCCAUCCAUGUUUGGUAUUAUGCAACGCCGUCAGACGAACCAGUAUGGCUACUCUAUCCUUCUGGUCCGGUUUCCUUAUCUGCUGGUGUUGCAGCCUAUCAUUUUGGAAUGAAGUUGUAAGAUUGAAUAUUAAGAAAAAGAGAGAACAGUGUUUUGUUGAAGUCAGACAUAAACCGAAUUGGACUGUUUCAGCAGGUCUAAGCUUACUACGUCUAUUUGACAUCCAAGACUUUUGCUAUGAUUUUCCAAUCAAUUUUCUGACCAAUUUUGUUUGCUUCUGUCAGACUCGAAGACUAGAUGGCGAAAAAGCAGAAAUAAAAAGAACAUAAAUAAAUCUAUAAAA